GACGAACGCUGGCGGCGUGCUUAACACAUGCAAGUCGAACGGAAAGGUCCGGCUUUUGUGGGUUGCUCGAGUGGCGCACGGGUGAGUGACACAUGAGUAACCUGCCCCUGACUUUGUGAUAACUUCAGGAAAAUGGGGCUAAUACCGCGUAGGAGCUCCUGAUGCAUGGUGGGCGUUGGAAAAAUUCGGCGGUGGGGGAUGGACUCGAGGCUUAUCAGCUGGUUGGGGGGGUAGUGGCUUACAAAGGCUUGGAAGGGUAGCCGACCUGUGAGGCCGGUCGGCCACAUUGGAAGGGAGACACGGUCCAGAGUCCUGCGAGAGGGAGCAGUAGGGAAUCUGCCGCAAUGGGCGAGAGCUUGACGGAGCAAGGCGGAGUGAGUGAUGAAGGUGUUCGGAGCGUGAAGCUCUGUUAUUGGGGGAGAACAAAUGUGUCAGUAGCUGUGCACGGCUUGACGGUACCUGGUCAGGAAGCCACGGCUAACUACGUG
rnacentral:rRNA from 1 species